rnacentral:lncRNA from 1 species
CAAUUUUUUUUGUUUGUUUUCUUACAACUCCAUCUUUGCAAAGUAAUCACAACGUCAUGCCCCUCUCCCUAGACUUUAACUUCUCUCCCUGGAUAUGCACUGAUUCCUCUUCUCCCUUCUAUUGAUACAUAAGAGUCAAAGAUGAACCUGAGACAUGGAUCAUGGGAAGAAUUUACCUCUGCUUAUCGUAGUCAUGUGUAUCCUGUGCUGAUGUGACUACAUUGCAGCAACCUGAUGAUUUCUUCUAAGACAAAGGAGUGAGAGCCUGUUAAUAUAUAUACUGCUUACCCUGAAGGAAAUGAGAAGCUGCCAACAGCUGAAGGUAAGUAUCUGCUCCCUCGGUGUAAUAAAUAGUAGUCAGUACUUAAUAUUUUUCUCAUUUUUCACUCAGGGAUAAAAGAUCUACUGCAGACAUAGGGAACUGAACUGCUGCUGACUGUUGCUGUCUAACAGUUGGCAAUCCUCUUUGAGUUCUUUUACAGCCCACAGUUUCAGAAAAAUAGAUCUAUAGGACCUAACUAAAGGCUGCCAUAGAGUAGUUAAUGACAAGGGAAGAGGGAACAUUUAAGUGCACUUUAUUUAACUCAGCUGAAGACUCAAUUGCAAUGAGUAAUCAUAUAAUACCUAAGUUGAACAGCAGCUUUUGUUGAAAAGUCUAGUUAAAAUAGGUUUUCCAGAGACUUUGUUUCUAAUAACGGAUGAAACUUUUGAGUAAUAGAGAGAAAUUGCCUAUUAAACACUCUUGGAAUUUCCUAUUUUCGUUGCAGAAGACAUAGAAACAGAACUGAUAGCUUCACAGCUCUUAUAUUUGUGACUUAUGAUAUACUAUUUCCCACCUGUCAGGACAGUUUCAAAAGGAAUAUAAACAAUUUAGAAAACAAACAAAAAACCACUUUACAUAUCUUUAGCUCCUCCACCCCACCCCACCCUCUUCUGAUUAAACCUGCUGAAGACCUACUCAUGCUAAAGCAUCCUGACUAUCAAGCUACUAACAGAAAGCCUCCAAACGCAAUGAGAAUUCAUCAAGCAGGUUACGAGCUUCAGGAAGCAAAAGCCAGACAACUGAGAAUGUGGAUGCAGCCAAACUCCACCUGCUGUGCUGCACCUUCUUCAGCAAGCUGAGGAAAAAGCAGCUCUGAAAAUAAGAGUCUCAACACUUGUCAGAUCCCGCUGGAAGGAAUUUGCAUGUGUGAAGAGCAGCCUACAUCAGGUGCCCUUGCUGUGAACCCAGGCACGUCACAGUGUGUCUCACAGUUCUGAAUGCAAACUCACAAAGGUCCUCCGCAGCAUAGCUCAUCCCAGUCUUUGAGUCAGGCUGAAUUCAAUUGUCAGCGCUUUACAACACUGUUACAAUUGUUAUUCUGUGGGGCCAAGAUGACCGUGAAAUACAGAGGCAAGCGCACUAGAAACUCUUGCUAAUGAUCAUGUAAUUCAUUUUAGCUUCUAUGUACGCGCAGGUAACUCAUGACAAGCUUUAUUAUGAUGAGUGUAUCUGGAAGACAACGAAACCAUCUCAGCUUCAGGUCAUGUUUCCUAGCUUCACAUCCAAGUUUUCCUAUCAAUAGCAAUUUUAUUUCACAAAGAUACAUAAAAAUCCUAUAAAUCAGAGAAAGAUACUUGGCAGCUGUAGCAUCCAGUAAAAGAAAAGUUUCAAAGUUUAUGCUGUAAAUGAACAAAGGAUGAAGAAUUCUUCCUGUUAGCCCAUGAAGAAAUAUGAACUUGUGUUAGCCUGAAUAGCUUUGUCAUUUAAUUUUAAUGUUACAGUGUUACAGUGUUUAGAGCGAGAAGGUCAGUAGAAAUGUUACACAGAUUUUAUGCAGAAGCAGUAAAACGUUUCUUCUGCGUUGUUCUCUUUGCAGAAUGUAAACUGUUAUUUACAGCACCAGUUUAAGUGGUUUCCAUUUACUUCUGAAGCCUCAAGUCAUAUAAAAAGUUUGACGAGGCCAGUAUGCUCUCCAGGACAGAAAAGAUGGAUGAUUACUGCUCAGUUGGUAUCUCAGGAUAGUAUUCUCCUGUAUGCUGACCAGAAGCAGUCAGAAAAGUCAGAAGGCACCACCCUAGGGCAAAACGCUGUCUCGUUUCCCUUUACAAAUGUAAAGGGUGAAAGAGUAUGGUAGUACAAAUAACAUAAAUUGCAGGUGCUCCAGUAGCGUCAAAAGUUUCA